rnacentral:lncRNA from 1 species
AUGCGUACUUACUUGUCAUUGCACGUAGCAGCAGGGCUCACCGCGCGGCACUGCAUGCUCUGGCGCUUAGGUCGCAAACCGGACAUCCUAGAAAACAGAACUCUUUCUUCAUGGGUAGCACUCAAAAGCCAGGACCCGUCAGGCGAGCAGCCGACAGCCACCUGCCGCCCCCCCUGCCGCCGCCCCCCCACCUGCCACCGCCCCGCCUCGCCCCCACGUGCCGCUCCCACCCCUGCUGCUCCCCCACCUGCUGCCGCUCCCCCAACCUGCCGCCGCCCCCCGCCCCUACCUGCUGCCGCCCCCCCACCCCCACCUGCCGCUCCCCCAACCUGCCGCCGCCCCCCCGCCCCCACCUGCCGCUCCCCCAACCUGCCGCCUCCCCCCGCCCCUCGCCCCUACCUGCUGCCGCCCCCGCCCCCACCUGCCGCUCCCCCAACCUGCCGCCGCCCCCCGCCUCUACCUGCUACCGCCCCCCCGCCCCCACCUGCCGCUCCCCCAACCUGCCGCCGCCCCACCUGUCGCUCCCCCGCCCCUGCCGCCCCGCGGGCUCGGUUUCCUCGGGGGCUCCUCGUCUCCCUCCUGGGAGGACUACCGUCCGGCCGAAGGCGGAUUCGCAGCGCGACUGUGUGCCUCGUGACGCGGCGGCGGCGGCGGGGGAACCGGCGGGAGGCGGGGGCACCGUCGUCCCGGCCCGGCGCCUCCUCUUUACCGCACCGCGGGUCCUGGAGCCCGGCCCCGCCGCCUCCGCAGUCAGGCCGGCGUCGCCAGUCACCGCCGACCUCCCCUCCCUGCUGCGUCCUCGAGGGCAGCGGGGGCCGCCGAGCCCCGGCCCCUCAGCCCGCACGCCGCAGCCCCGCCGCCUCCCGCCGGCCCACGCACCAUAAAUCAUUCCAUCCCCAGCGGCCAAUCAGCGCUCCGCACGCCCCGCGCCCGCCAAUCAGCGCCCCGCACGCCCCGCGCCAGCCAAUCCAAGCCAACACACGUUGCCCCGCCAACUUCUGCCGCAGGCCCUUCGGGUGCGCUCUGCGGAGGAACUAG